UGCUAUUACAGGCAUACGAAGACGAAGCACUUCAACUUCCGCCCAAUUAUUAUCUAGCUGGGUCAUCUAUAGCAUAUACAAGUCUCGGCGAAUUGUGUUAGGAUUCAAGAGUAACAAACUGAUUUUGGGAUACUGGGUGGCCAUUUGGUGAAGUCAGUUUGGUGUGUGGCCAAUUGGGAGUGGCGCUGUGUCCAUGAUUGAAUUCGACGUUCAAAAAAAAGAGUUCGAAGAAAGGAUAAUAAGUUUGCCUCCAAAGCCAAAGAAACUAGAGCAUGUGCGGCCGUUCAUCUGACGAUCUCCCCACAGCCGUAGCAUAGCUCUGAUACUGUUGCUGAGAAUGGCUUGCCACAUCCUGGUUACCAUAGUAAUUACUUGAGCACAUGAAUCCUCUUUGGUUUGCUUGCCUGUCCCUGCAUUAUGUCCCUAAAUCGCUGCUAUCAGUAUGGUAGUGUCUCCAAUUGGACGAAAAACCAUGUGAUGAUCGAUAAUCCAAAAGCCUUUCAUUAACCUGUUUCUUUUAGAAAUGGCAUGUCUUGUUUUAGCUGUCCAUAGGCAGUCUAGGAUUGAAUUUUUGUAGGUGUGAAAUGUUUUACAGCAUGUAGAUCGAGGUUUUCUCAAGAAUUGGUUGUGCGGUGAUUUGGGCAUGACACCCCAGACCCCAGUCUUCCCAAUGUAUGUGACACCUAGAAAACAAGGCAGGCCAAAAGUGUUCUCACAAAAGAGAUGGCAGAUGAGUGUAGGAAGCUAAAGCAUCUACAUAAUAAUACUCAACGGAGCAUGGGAUGUGCAUAUCUGGAUCCGGAGAAGUUCAUAGUCGUCUUAGUUUGUCGCAUGAUGGAAUCCCUCAAGGAUCUUGAUCUCCUCUUCCACUAAAAUUGUAUAGCCGGCUCGAGAAGGAGUUACAGAGAGCAAUUCCAAAUUUUCAAUUGUGCGAGCACCUGAUCAUAUAAAUAAAUUUAAGCAAAAUCAGAAACACAUGUGCAAGCAACUUCCCUAUGUCUGAACAAUAGUUUGCAACUCUAAAAUCUAAAUGAGCCAGGAAAAAUAGUUCAGAGAUGUCCACACAAACGAGUGAAAAUGUUUAUUACAUCCUUCCUGCAGUACUUUGUACACUUAAAAUCUAAUAGCAGUAGUGUUACUACAGUCCGAGUAGUAAUCUAAAUUGAGCAAGACAAGUUAGGAUGUUGAUGAGUAAAAUAUGAAAUGAGAUGAUAAAACUGACGGGGUUUGAACAACACCACAGAAGUUUAAGGAGCUGAGCACACAUGAUGCAAGAGUUUUCGAUAAUAAAACCGUAGAAACAAGUGAAUAUAUUAGAAAUGACAGGCUCGUUUUUGUAAAAGGAAAGAAUGAGUCCUUGCAAGCAUUUGAAAAAGCUUAUUUAUGGAGAAACUGUAUGCAGUUGAAUGGUAGUACUCAUGUUCCAAGUUCAUUUCAAGGCCAGUAGGCAAAAUUUUCAUCCUUUGGAAAAAUGGGUCAUUUGGAAGAAAAAUUGAGAACAUAAACUCAUCCAACAAACUUAUAUAUUUAUAAUUCAUGCUCCACAGGGACCAAAAGUUUAAAGACACAUCUCACAAGCAUAGCUGGAAUACAAGGAUAGUUAUGGAGAGAAAUAUGAAAUUGACCCAACUAUCCAAAAAGAAAAAUGCCAAUUCCAAAUUCCUCCCUAACACUUCCAAAUUAGAUUAAAAUCCUUCCUGACAAAAAAUAAAAUAUUAAAAUCAUCAGCUAAUUCCUGCAACAGAACUUUCACCAGAAACAGCUAAUGUUUUUGAAGUGCUAUUGACAAUUAUGAAAAAAUGGUAAAAUAUUCAAGAAUAUGGUGCCUGAAAAAUACAUGUAAACAUACCUUUCAAGAGUUAUUGCUUGGCGCGUUAAUGAUACUUGAUGACAACUUAACAGACUUAACCUAAGCUAUGAACACUGUUACAAAUUCGCCAAUCCAAAACAAAUUAACCAAUAAUAACCAGCAACUCAAACUUCAAUGGACAGCAAGAAGAAAACGCAGCAGACUAAAUCGAAAAUAACCAAACAAUAACAAAACAAAACAUGAUUCUCGACCCUGCAACUCAGCAAAACAGGACUCGCGACUUGGUGAAAUCAGUACACCAAGUCAACAACAAAUUACUACUCGACUCGACUGGAAACCAAAGCCAACACACAAACAGGCAAACAAGCAUGAAGUAGCGACUCAUAAAACAGAACCCAACAUUACAAAUCGGAAGAAUCGGAACAGCAGACAAGAACAUCAAAAGGAAUUAAAACUUUGAAUUCUGCUCAGUUGGGCAUUAAAUGCAUAACUGUGAGCAAAAAUACACAAAUGCAUAUAGUGAGAAUUAUGCGGAACGUGUUACCUUCA